UACGUAGGGGGCAAGCGUUGUCCGGAAUUAUUGGGCGUAAAGCGCGCGCAGGCGGUCCUUUAAGUCUGAUGUGAAAGCCCACGGCUCAACCGUGGAGGGUCAUUGGAGACUGGGGGACUUGAGUGCAGAAGAGGAAAGCGGAAUUCCACGUGUAGCGGUGAAAUGCGUAGAGAUGUGGAGGAACACCAGUGGCGAAGGCGGCUUUCUGGUCUGUAACUGACGCUGAGGCGCGAAAGCGUGGGGAGCAAACAGG
rnacentral:rRNA from 1 species